CGUCGAAGAGAACCAUGACUUAGUGGCGGACGGGUGAGGUAAUGCGUGAGCAACCUGCCUUCAGAGGGGGACAACAGUUGGAAACGACUGCUAAUACCGCAUAACAUAUCCGGGCGGCAUCGCCUGGAUAUCAAAGGAGCAAUCCGCUAGAAAGAUGGGCUCACGUCUGAUUAGCUAGUUGGCGGGGCAACGGCCCACCAAGGCGACGAUCAGUAGCCGGACUGAGAGGUUGAACGGCCACAUUGGGACUGAGAUACGGCCCAGACUCCUACGGGAGGCAGCAGUGGGGAAUAUUGGGCAAUGGGCGAAAACGCCUGACCCAGCAACGCCGCGUGAAGGAAGAAGGUCUUCGGAUUGUAAACUUCUUUUAUGAGGGACGAAGGACGUGACGGUACCUCAUGAAUAAGCCACGGCUAACUACGUGCCAGCCGCCGC
rnacentral:rRNA from 1 species